rnacentral:rRNA from 1 species
CAGCAGCCGCGGUAACACGGAGGGUGCAAGCGUUAAUCGGAAUUACUGGGCGUAAAGCGCACGCAGGCGGUUUGUUAAGUCAGAUGUGAAAUCCCCGAGCUUAACUUGGGAACUGCAUUUGAAACUGGCAAGCUAGAGUCUUGUAGAGGGGGGUAGAAUUCCAGGUGUAGCGGUGAAAUGCGUAGAGAUCUGGAGGAAUACCGGUGGCGAAGGCGGCCCCCUGGACAAAGACUGACGCUCAGGUGCGGAAGCGUGGGGAGCAAACAGGAUUAGAUACCCGUGUAGUCCAUGUCUCUUAUAC